GUUUAAUACUCCACAGAAAAAAAAAAAAAGAACCAUGGAAUUCUGAGUCCCACCUGUUAAAUUAUUUGUCCUUCUAAUAGAAGCAGGAAUGAAAGGCGUAUGUUCAACAUCAUUUUGGACCCAUUUUCUGUGGCGGGAAACCAAGGUCCUGCACUAGGCAUUGCAGAUAUGAAGAUGAACUGGAUACAGAGCCCGAUUUCAGGGAGUCACAAGAGUGUGUGCUUAGUGCUGUGAGAGAGAACUUCCCCCUAGACAAAGGACAUCUAGACCAGCCUGGAGGGAGCAGACCCUGUUAAUAUCUCUGAGCUCAUUGCUUUUCUGGAAGAACAUGUUCCGAGUUCCAAUUUGGGAUGAUUCAAAACCUACGUCUGCCCCAGGCUUGAGCUAAAGCAGAAGGAGAGGAUUUCGGAUGACAAAAGAGCAUGAGAAGAAGAAACGUUGUGCAUUGGUGCGUGUAGAAUAUAGAGUCAUUUGGUGUGUUCAGGGUCCAGAGUACAUCGAUGGUUGCAGUGUGAGAUAAGAUUGGAAGAGGAAGAGGGACGAGACAGAUCAUCAAAGAGCUCCAAAUACUCUGUGAAUUACAUGGCUGGAAAGAUGGAUUUGGUGAGGGCCCAGCAGACAUCAUUCACUAAGGAUGGCCAGUGCAUCACAGACAAAGGAAGAGGCGCCUGGGAUGGGUCACACCCUUUGCCUCCUCUCUCUGGAUGGCAUUUCUAAGUCACACCAGGGGCUCUGGGCAUUGAGGCUUGGGAUACCCAUCUCCUGAGCCCUUCUUCCUGGGAAGAUGCCAGGGGCCAAAGCCAGGUGGACGCCAGCUCAGCCUCUACACUCUCAGUCCCAACUGGGUGUGAUCACUGCAGAGCUCCUCUGGGGUGGAGAGAAAGAAGAAAUAAAAGAGCCCUUCUUUAUAUAAAAUUGGAUUUUAACAUUCUCCAAAGUGGUGGCAGCCCCUGGAUUGCAAAUGAAAAGCACCCAGUUUUCCCAGAGAAUAAUCUGGAAGAGGGAAGUGGAGGUGAAUGGCCUCCUUCUGUAAUGGUAAGAACUUCUCCCCAGCCACCUCCAGAAGACAGAGAGAGGCAUCUGGGGGUCGGGGAUGUGAGUUGGCAAGAAGCUGGGAGACGUGACAGCCAGAGAGAUUGGGAGCGGAGACGUGCACCGCCCGGCGCCCUUCACUCAUGUCCUCCCUGGCCUGGGGCUCGGCAAGGCUCCUGCUGUUCCUUCCAUCUUCUCCAAGUGCUGAGAAUGAGGCGAAAGAGGAAGCAAUAGGGUAAAAAGAUACUGAGGACCUCCAAACUCAGAAGUGUUUGUUGAUUGAUUCAUUCAUCAUUCAGAAAGAGCGAGUACCUACUGCACGUCAAACCCACAGCCAAGGCUGGAGGUGCAGAGAUAAAUGAUUCACAGUUGGUGUCUCCAAGAAGCUCCCAGUCUAAGGACCCAAGAAGAAGCUGCAUCUCGCCAAGAGUCUUGGAAUUCUGGCUACAUUCGUAUUUGGGCUUCCUUACUCAUUGUUGAUUUACUGCAUCAAUCUUUUCCAAUGGAUUGGGAGCAUCAAUAUUUUGUAAGAUGAUAGAAAUUGAUAUAACCUGUGUAACCGAGAGGAUUGAAUUAGGUAGAAUCUCUGCCUCAGGGCGGGGCCUGGAGUGAGCCAAGCAAGAUGCUUAUGAGACAAAAUCUAUGGAGGUGUCAUUUUUAAGGUCAUGCUAGUGCAGGGUCUGCCUAAUAUUGGGUUGACAGACUUUGUGCAAGUCAUUUAAACUCCAUGAACUUCAGCUUCCCAUCUGUAAAUCAGGGACAUGCCUACUCAUGGAGCUGUUGAAAAAUUAAUAAUAUAAUGCUUGCAAAAGUGCGUUAUAAACUAUAAAUGGCAUAUAAACACGUGUUGGUUUUAUCAAUAGUAGUAAUAAUAAUUAUUUAUGAUCUUUUUCAUUAAUUCAUCAAUGACAUUAAAAAUAACCAUAACCAAAACAUUCUUUGUGGCAAAUGCAACACAUUAUACUGGAAAAUGGAAUAGAGAAACGGAAGGAUCUGGUAUGCUUUGUAAGAGGCGGUAGUUAAGUAAUGAAAGAUUUUGAGCUGUGAACUCAGACAGACUUGGAUUUUAAUCCCAGCUCUAUCACUUACAAAUGUUUAACCUAAACUCUGAAGUCUCCAUUUCCUCAUUUGUGAAAGGGGAAUAAUAAUAAUGGACUCAUAGGGUUGUUACUGAGGAUUAAAUGAGAUAAUGUGUGUAAUACUCAGCAUUUUGCAGGCCCGUAGAGAGCACUACAUAGAUGUGAGCUACUAUCGUUGUGUGGGGACCCCAGCACAACCAAUUCCUCCUACAGGCCAGAAUGUCUUCUGAGAUACUAAGCUUUUUCCAGUUUCCUUAGCUGAGGUCAUAUUACACAAUGCUAAGUCGCAAAGAUGCUUUUCCUACAGGCUUGAUUUUAGGAAUAAUUAUACUAAAUGUUGUUCCUUCUUUCCUAAGUUUCUCCAGAAUUAUAGCUGUGGUGUAAGUACCCAAGAGU
ensembl:lncRNA